UCACUCCCCGUCGUCUCUUUCCUACAGAGCUCGCCAUCCACCCCAAUCUCGCCAUCCACACCCCCCUCCCCCGUGCCUCCCCACCUCACUCCCAGAUCCGUGACGGCGCUGCUCCCUGAUCCAUCGUCCUCUGCUCCGAUGCGUCCCCGGGGCGACAUUACAAGUGCUCCAUCACGGCCGUAGAGGGUGGUCUGCCCCAUCUCCAUCUCGAUUGGGGCCAGUGCUUCCAUCCAUCUUCCCCUCCCCCGACGAUAGACUAGGAUUUCGCUACUGGUUUCCCCCUCUUCGAAGUCCCUCUCCUCGCAAUCGAAGUGCGUCAAGAUUCUGCUUCGAAGUAACAGUAGUACAGUACAAAUGUACCGCUAUUGGAGAACCACCCAUCGGCCGGCCGAAGAAUAAGCAGUUGCCUCGCAUUCAUUUUCCCUCUUCUAUGCCCCUCGUAAAAAACCGAAGGGCUAACAAGAGGUCAUCAAUGGUGGGCAUGGCGAAUGAUGUGAAGAUCCAGCAUCUCAAUGCCCAAUGUUUUGUCAUUGUUUUGGAAGAAAAAUAGCAAGACACACACUCGGUUAUCGAAGGGCGUUGACGGUUGACGUGUUGUUUGACGUGUUGUUCCUCGACGGUGCCAGCCUCGCUGCUCCACACUGGACGUUGUGGCUUGCGAUGUCUGACAAAGGCAGAUUUGUGGGACAAAAGGAAGUCAUCGAGUCUAGGUCGCACACAGUGCGUAGAGCAUAGCAGGGAGGGACUAUGACAUGACUGUAGUGGCGGUGCGACAUAGUAUUGCCGCUAGCAUAUAAAUUUGUUCUACAAACUGGCUAGUGGAUGGAAGCAAAUUUGUAGCCUGUAUGACACAUGUUACGAGCAUAAGGAAGCAUUGUAAUGUUUGACAUUUGUCGGAAGCAUGUUAUAUAUGAACGAACAAGCAAAAUUC